GGCUUGAGACGGAUUGUCCGUAAAAAGGAGAACAUAGUAAGCUGUGAUCCGAAUAUUAUCUAUUUUAUUCCAGCUACAGCCUCUCGAGUACGCUGCUUCGAAAAUCAAGGCGGAAGAGCGAUCGAUAUUUCAAUACUUUGCCCACGGCAAAAACCAUGAAAGAAUGAAAACAUUUAUAUACAGUAUGUAUAAGUAUAAAGAAAUAGAACAUAAAAAAGGAUCGAGUGAUUGGAAUCCAGAAUCAAUCUGCAGAGAAGACAUGCUUGCUCAUUAUCAUCCAAUGCUUCCCGCUCCCGUCUUUGUCUAUCUUACCGAACUACAACAAUAUUAACAUCGCGGAAAAAAAAAGGCGCUUUUCAGAUUUAAUAACAGAUCAGUGACGUGAACAGAAGAAUGGCAAAAAGUGAAACAAAACGAAAAACAAGUGAUGAAGGAAACACAGUACACAUUUUACGCAACUACAGCCAAUAGGAAUAUGACGGUUUGUGAACUGAAGUGGGAGAGAAAAAAAAAUAGAGAGAAAGAGAGAAGAGAAAUAAAGAACAAAAAGCGCUUCAGAAGAAAUGCCGUCCUCAAAAUGCUUUCAAAAACAACAUAAAACUGUAGUAAAGAGGAGCCAAAGGAAAUUCGUCAAAAAUAAUAUUAAUCGUGUGAGGAAUGAUUAAAUGAGUAGUAAAUGAAAUUUUGUUUUCAAAAAAAAAAAAAAAAAAAAAAGAAAAGAAAAGAAAAAGAAAAAGAAAAAAGAGAAGAAAAAGAAAACAAAAGAAAAAUGGAUAUAGCUCGGACCCUAGAUUUAGGUCUCAGUAAAGCGGAUAUCAUCAGCGGAAGAGGUGGAUAGACAGAGAGACGGAUAGAAAAUGAGUGGGAAAAAUGUCUAUAGUCCCGUUGACCUAUUAGAUAGCUGAAUACAGUGCAAAACGCAUUCCAUAAUUAUUUUCAUCCGGUGAAAGAGUUGGAGCAGAGAGACAUUUGAUAGACGUGAAGACCACGGAGGCCAGAUGGGAUAAGAGGAGCGCAGCUGUAUCUGCAGGCUCAGGAACGAGGCGUG
rnacentral:sRNA from 1 species